rnacentral:snoRNA from 1 species
CGGACAUGAUGUCAACCUGCCAUCCUGACCUGCCGUGGAGGCAAAAAAAAAAAAACUGAUUUAAUGAGGCUGAUCC